GGUCCGAUUUUAUUGGUUUUGCUGACCGAGAUAAUGGUUAACAGAGACAAACGGGGCCAUUCGUAUUGCUACGUGAGAGGUGAAAUUCUUGGACCGUAGCAAGACGGACUACAGCGAAAGCAUUUGGCAAGAAUGUCUUCAUUAAUCAAGAACGAAAGUCAGAGGUUCGAAGGCGAUCAGAUACCGCCCUAGUUCUGACCGUAAACGAUGCCAACUAGCGAUCCGCCAGUCGACUCAUCGCUCUGGUGGGGAGCUUCCCGGAAACGAAAGUCUUCCGGUUCCGGGGGAAGUAUGGUUGCAAAGCUGAAACUUAAAGGAAUUGACGGAAGGGCACCACCAGGAGUGGAGCCUGCGACUUAAUUUGACCCAACACGGGGAAACUCACCCGGCCCGGACACCGUAAGGAUUGACAGAUUGAUAGCUUUUUCAUGAUUCGGUGGAUGGUGGUGCAUGGCCGUUCUUAGUUCGUGGAGCGAUUUGUCUGGUUUAUUCCGAUAACGAGCGAGACUCUGGCCUACUAAAUAGUUGACGCAUUGCCACUGUGCGCACAACUUCUUAGAGGGAUUUUCGGUGUUUUCAACCGCACGAAAUUGAGCAAUAACAGGUCUGUGAUGCCCUUAGAUGUCCGGGGCUGCACGCGCGCUACACUGGCAAACGCAACGUGCCUGUCCUGCCCCGAAAGGAGCGGGUAAACCCCUGAAAUUUUGCCGUGAUUGGGAUCGGACAUUGCAACUAUUGUCCGUGAACGAGGAAUUCCUUGUAGGGGCGAGUCAUCAACUCGUCCCGAAUACGUCCCUGCCCUUUGUACACACCGCCCGUCGCUGCCCGGGACUGAGCCAUUUCAAGAAAACCGGGGAUUGAUGGCCUAACGACUCUUCGGGGUCCGCUGGCCGUUAAAAACCGGCUUAAUUGCAAUGGUUUGAACCGGGCAAAAGUCGUAACAAGGUAGCUGUAGGUGAACCUGCUGCUG
rnacentral:rRNA from 1 species